AUUGAACGCUGGCGGCAGGCCUAACACAUGCAAGUCGAGCGGAUGAAGGGAGCUUGCUCCUGGAUUCAGCGGCGGACGGGUGAGUAAUGCCUAGGAAUCUGCCUGGUAGUGGGGGAUAACGUCCGGAAACGGGCGCUAAUACCGCAUACGUCCUGAGGGAGAAAGUGGGGGAUCUUCGGACCUCACGCUAUCAGAUGAGCCUAGGUCGGAUUAGCUAGUUGGUGAGGUAAAGGCCUACCAAGGCGACGAUCCGUAACUGGUCUGAAAGGAUGAUCAGUCACACUGGAACUGAGACACGGUCCAGACUCCUACGGGAGGCAGCAGUGGGGAAUAUUGGACAAUGGGCGAAAGCCUGAUCCAGCCAUGCCGCGUGUGUGAAGAAGGUCUUCGGAUUGUAAAGCACUUUAAGUUGGGAGGAAGGGAAGUAAGUUAAUACCUUGCUGUUUUGACGUUACCAACAGAAUAAGCAACGGCUAACUUCGUG
rnacentral:rRNA from 1 species